GGAGGGUACAGCUCUGUGGUAGAGCGCAUGCCUAGCACGCACGAGGUCCUGGGUUCAAUCCCCAGCACCUCCA
rfam:Camelus ferus unplaced genomic scaffold scaffold471, whole genome shotgun sequence.